rnacentral:tRNA from 1 species
UCCCUGAUGGCUCACUUGGUAAAGAAUCUGCCUGUAAUGCAGGAGAUCCCAGUUCGAUUCUUGGGUUGGGAA